CGCACAUUGCGCCCUCUGGUAUUCCGGAGGGCAUGCCUGUCCGAGCGUCAUUAUCAACCCUCAAGCCCCGCUUGGCCUUGGGUCCCGUCAGGGCCCCCCCGCUCUGGGGGGGCAUGACGGACCCGAAAGGGAAUGGCGGAACCCGUGGGAACCCCGGAUGCAGCGAGCCUCUGGCACGCGUCGCGGUGGAUCCUCGGGGCUCCGGCCCAACCACCCCAAUCUCCAGUUGACCUCGGAUCAGGUAGGGAUACCCGCUGAACUUAA
rnacentral:misc_RNA from 1 species